rnacentral:rRNA from 1 species
UUGACCUCGGAUCAGGUAGGGAUACCCGCUGAACUUAAGCAUAUCAAUAAGCGGAGGAAAAGAAACCAACAGGGAUUGCCUCAGUAACGGCGA